UACGUAGGUGGCAAGCGUUGUCCGGAAUUAUUGGGCGUAAAGAGCUCGUAGGCGGUUUGUCGCGUCUACUGUGAAAACCCGAGGCUCAACCUCGGGCCUGCAGUGGGUACGGGCAGACUAGAGUGCGGUAGGGGAGAUUGGAAUUCCUGGUGUAGCGGUGGAAUGCGCAGAUAUCAGGAAGAACACCGGUGGCGAAGGCGGUGGGCUGGGCCGGCACUGACGCUGAGGAGCGAAAGCGUGGGGAGCGAACAGG
rnacentral:rRNA from 1 species